CUGGCCGGCAGCCGCGCCCUGCUUGUGGGUUGGGCCGCGGUCGGGGUAGGAGCCUACGCGGGGCCGGGGCGAUGGACGCCUUAGAAGAGAGCUUUGCGCUGUCUUUCUCCUCCGCCUCUGAUGCAGAAUUUGUUGCUGUGGUUAGAUAUUUAGAGGACAUUGUCAUGGAUGACGAGUUCCAGUGAUUACAGAGAAAUUUCAUGGACAAGUACUACCUGGAGUUUGAAGACACGGAAGAGAAUAAAUUCACCUACACAUCUGUUUUUAAUGAAUGCAUUUCUCUGUUAGAAAAAUAUAUUCAAGCUGCUGGAGCGAAUUUCUGGAUUCAACAUGGCAGCUUUCACCACAACAUUACAGCACUAUAAAGAUGAAGUGGCUGGUGACACAUUCGACAUGCUGCUCACCUUUACAGAUUUUCAGGCUUUUAAAGAAAUGUUUUUGGACUACAGAGCAGAAAAAGAAGGCCGAGGACUGGAUUUAGGCAGUGGCUUAGUGAUGACAUCGUUGUGCAAAUCAUCAUCUGUGCCAGCUACCCCGAGCAAUCUGCGGCACUAGGUCCUACCUCCAGCCAAUGAAUGGGAUUAUUCUGGAUGUCACCGGCCCAAUAGGCUCAGCUCAUGAUGACAGAAUACAUCUUAAAAAGACUGACUUAUGUAACUCUUCGUGUAUAUUAAGUAUUGAUACGUCAAAACCAAAAUGACCUAACCCCUCCUGGACCUAUUUCUCCUGAAACACCUUCUUGAAUUCAUUUACCAUAGUACUCCUCUCCUUCUCAAGUAGACA